rnacentral:rRNA from 1 species
ACGAGCACGCGCGUGUGGCAUAUCAAUAAGCGGAGGAAAAGAAACUAACAAGGAUUCCCCUAGUAACGGCGAGUGAAGCGGGAAGAGCUCAAAUUUGAAAUCUUCAAGGUUUUACCUUGACGAAUUGUAGUUUAUAGAAGUGUUUUCUGUUAGAGGAGUAGGCAAAAGUUCUUUGGAAUAGGACAUCAUAGAGGGUGAGAAUCCCGUAUUUGACCGUUAUUUUCUAGCUUUGUGAUACACUUUCAAAGAGUCGGAUUGUUUGGGAAUGCAGUCCAAGAUGGGUGGUAAAUUUCAUCUAAAGCUAAAUAUUGGCGAGAGACCGAUAGCGAACAAGUACCGUGAGGGAAAGAUGAAAAGAACUUUGAAAGGAGAGUUAAACAGUACGUGAAAUUGUCAAAAGGGAAGCGUUUGACACCAGUGUUGUUUUCUCGAAAAUCAAUUAAAAAUAACUUGAUUUUGUGUAGUAUUGACCUUAAAAGCUUUCUUCACUCUUUUCCUGUUAUUUCUAAUGCACUUUUCGUUUAACAAGUCAACAUCAGUUUCUUUUGUUGUAAAAAGAUCAUUGGAAGGUGGCUUUCUUUUAGGAGAAAGUGUUUAUAGCCUUUGACUCCUGCAAUCGGAGAGACUGAGGUCUGCAGCGUAGAUCCUUUUUUGGAUUAGAUUCAUUUGUGCUAAGUUAUAGCUUUUUAUAGACAACAUGUUGACUAUAUUUAGUCUUGUAACUUACUCGCUUAUGUAAUUUUACCUACGCUUAGGAUGUUGAUGUGAUACUGCGAGCA